UACGUAGGUCCCAAGCGUUGUCCGGAUUUAUUGGGCGUAAAGCGAGCGCAGGCGGUUUGAUAAGUCUGAAGUUAAAGGCUGUGGCUCAACCAUAGUUCGCUUUGGAAACUGUCAAACUUGAGUGCAGAAGGGGAGAGUGGAAUUCCAUGUGUAGCGGUGAAAUGCGUAGAUAUAUGGAGGAACACCGGUGGCGAAAGCGGCUCUCUGGUCUGUAACUGACGCUGAGGCUCGAAAGCGUGGGGAGCGAACAGG
rnacentral:rRNA from 1 species